rnacentral:tRNA from 1 species
GCCCUGGUGGCACAACUGGAUAGCGCGUCCCCCUCCUAAGGGGAAGGUUGCAGGUUCGAUUCCUGCUCAGGGCACCA